UACGUAGGGUGCAAGCGUUAAUCGGAAUUACUGGGCGUAAAGCGCGCGCAGGCGGUUAUGUAAGACAGAUGUGAAAUGCCCGGGCUUAACCUGGGAACUGCAUUUGUGACUGCAUGGCUAGAGUUUGGCAGAGGGGGGGUAGAAUUCCACGUGUAGCAGUGAAAUGCGUAGAGAUGUGGAGGAACACCGAUGGCGAAGGCAGCCCCCUGGGCUAACACUGACGCUCAUGCACGAAAGCGUGGGGAGCAAACAGG
rnacentral:rRNA from 1 species